rnacentral:rRNA from 1 species
AGGACGAACGCUGGCGGCGCGCUUAACACAUGCAAGUCGAGCGAGAACCCAGGCUUCGGCCUGGGGGGAAAGCGGCGAACGGGUGAGUAACACGUGGGUAAUCUGCCCUCGACAUCGGGAUAGCCCGGGGAAACCCGGAUUAAUACCGAAUAGCCCAACAGCUUUUCGGAGCGGUUGGAAAAGGUAGCUUUGGCCUCCGGUCGAGGAGGAGCUCGCGGCGGAUUAGCUUGUUGGUGAGGUAACGGCUCACCAAGGCGUCGAUCCGUAGCUGGUCUGAGAGGACGAUCAGCCACACUGGGACUGAGACACGGCCCAGACUCCUACGGGAGGCAGCAGUGGGGAAUCUUGCGCAAUGGGCGAAAGCCUGACGCAGCGACGCCGCGUGAGGGAAGAAGGCCUUCGGGUUGUAAACCUCUUUCAGGAGGGACGAAGCCGACUCGGGUUAAUAGCCAGAGGGUGACGGUACCUCCGAGAAGAAGCCCGGCUAACUACGUGCCAGCAGCCGC